GAUUCUCCUGCCUCAGCCUCCCAAGUAGCUGGGAUUACAGAGACCUGAGGCUGCAGGACAACCAACUGGAAGCUGGGGAGAGACAGGGCCUGCAGGGGAAUGGCAUUGAGCCCUCCCGUCCCUGGGGCAGUCACGGGGCAUCGUUGGCACCCUGAGGCACGGACUUGAAAAAAUGCAUUGAUUCAAGAUGGAAUAAACCGAGUAGGUUUCAGAACAGCCACCCUUGGCCUGGACAGUGCAAGAGCUGCAGAGUGUCACCUCACAGGGCCAGCGGCGACCCAAGACACGGGUGCCUGGAAAGGGGGCUCUCUGCGGGGACAGGGCUCAGAAAGGCUGGACCUGUCCUGAACCACAGAAACAGGGUUCCCUGAACCUCGGCCAUCGUCUACCAUUACGGCGCCCUGUCCAGAUAUAAAGUCAGAAAAUCUCAGAUGCACAAACAUUUUGAAGUAAAAGAUAGUUUCUAAACCAUUACUCAAACCAAUAAAACGUGAAGU